rnacentral:tRNA from 1 species
GUGGGGGUAGCAAAGUCUGGUCAAAUGCGCAGGACUUAAGAUCCUGUCCUUUAGUAGGUUCAAGGGUUCGAAUAGACUUACUGGCGUUCGUAGAUUUUGAAUUCAGUGUCUUUGAAAUUCCCUUCCCCCACA